rnacentral:rRNA from 1 species
UACAGAGGGUGCAAACGUUGCUCGGAAUUACUGGGCGUAAAGCGCGUGUAGGCGGUUCGUUCAGUCGUCUGUGAAAUCCCACGGCUCAACCAUGGAAGUGCAGACGAUACUGGCAAACUCGAGUCCUGGAGAGGGUGGCGGAAUUCCCAGUGUAGAGGUGAAAUGCGUAGAUAUUGGGAGGAACACCGGUGGCGAAGGCGGCCGCCUGGACAGGUACUGACGCUGAGGCGCGAAAGCGUGGGGAGCAAACAGG